rnacentral:SRP_RNA from 1 species
GGGUAAGUCUUUUACGACUAGCUCCUUCUAAAUCCUCCAGGACGGGAACGUAGCAAAGGUAAGAGGUUGAGCGGUGCGAUAAAAGUAGCUUACCCUUU